UACGUAGGGGGCAAGCGUUGUCCGGAAUCAUUGGGCGUAAAGCGCGUGUAGGCGGCUAGGUAAGUCUGCUCUGAAAGCCCGGGGCUCAACCCCGGGAGGCGGGUGGAUACUGUCUAGCUCGAGUCCGGAAGAGGAGUGUGGAAUUCCUGGUGUAGCGGUGAAAUGCGCAGAUAUCAGGAGGAACACCAAUGGCGAAGGCAGCACUCUGGGACGUGACUGACGCUGAGACGCGAAAGCGUGGGGAGCGAUCCGG
rnacentral:rRNA from 1 species